UUGACCUCAGAUCGGGUGGGACUACCCGCUGAACUUAAGCAUAUCAAUAAGCGGAGGA
rnacentral:rRNA from 1 species